rnacentral:rRNA from 1 species
AAUCCUGCGGGAAUUGUAAUUUGAAGGUUUCGUGGUCUGAGUCGGCCGCGCCCAAGUCCAUUGGAACAUGGCGCCUGGGAGGGUGAGAGCCCCGUAUGGCGCACGCCGACUCUUUGCACCGCGGCUCCGACGAGUCGAGUUGUUUGGGAAUGCAGCUCUAAGUGGGUGGUAAAUUCCAUCUAAAGCUAAAUAUUGGCGAGAGACCGAUAGCGAACAAGUACAGUGAUGGAAAGAUGAAAAGCACUUUGAAAAGAGAGUGAAACAGCACGUGAAAUUGUUGAAAGGGAAGGGCUUGCAAGCAGACACGGUUUUACCGGGCCAGCGUCGAAAAGGGGGGAGGAACAAGAACUCGAGAAUGUGGCGCGCACCUUCGGGCGCGCGUGUUAUAGCUCGUGUUGACGCCUCCAUCCCUUUUCGAGGCCUGCGAUUCUAGGACGCUGGCGUAAUGGUUGCAAGCCGCCCGUCUUGAA